rnacentral:rRNA from 1 species
UACGAAGGGGGCUAGCGUUGUUCGGAUUUACUGGGCGUAAAGCGCACGUAGGCGGGUUGUUAAGUCAGGGGGUGAAAUCCUGGAGCUCAACUCCAGAACUGCCUUUGAUACUGGCAACCUAGAGGCUGGAAGAGGUUAGUGGAAUUCCCAGUGUAGAGGUGAAAUUCGUAGAUAUUGGGAAGAACACCAGUGGCGAAGGCGGCUAACUGGUCCAGAUCUGACGCUGAGGUGCGAAAGCGUGGGGAGCAAACAGG